UAGAGUUUGAUCAUGGCUCAGGACGAACGCUGGCGGCGUGCCUAAUACAUGCAAGUCGAACGAACUCUGGUAUUGAUUGGUGCUUGCAUCAUGAUUUACAUUUGAGUGAGUGGCGAACUGGUGAGUAACACGUGGGAAACCUGCCCAGAAGCGGGGGAUAACACCUGGAAACAGAUGCUAAUACCGCAUAACAACUUGGACCGCAUGGUCCGAGUUUGAAAGAUGGCUUCGGCUAUCACUUUUGGAUGGUCCCGCGGCGUAUUAGCUAGAUGGUGGGGUAACGGCUCACCAUGGCAAUGAUACGUAGCCGACCUGAGAGGGUAAUCGGCCACAUUGGGACUGAGACACGGCCCAAACUCCUACGGGAGGCAGCAGUAGGGAAUCUUCCACAAUGGACGAAAGUCUGAUGGAGCAACGCCGCGUGAGUGAAGAAGGGUUUCGGCUCGUAAAACUCUGUUGUUAAAGAAGAACAUAUCUGAGAGUAACUGUUCAGGUAUUGACGGUAUUUAACCAGAAAGCCACGGCUAACUACGUGCCAGCAGCCGCGGUAAUACGUAGGUGGCAAGCGUUGUCCGGAUUUAUUGGGCGUAAAGCGAGCGCAGGCGGUUUUUUAAGUCUGAUGUGAAAGCCUUCGGCUCAACCGAAGAAGUGCAUCGGAAACUGGGAAACUUGAGUGCAGAAGAGGACAGUGGAACUCCAUGUGUAGCGGUGAAAUGCGUAGAUAUAUGGAAGAACACCAGUGGCGAAGGCGGCUGUCUGGUCUGUAACUGACGCUGAGGCUCGAAAGUAUGGGUAGCAAACAGGAUUAGAUACCCUGGUAGUCCAUACCGUAAACGAUGAAUGCUAAGUGUUGGAGGGUUUCCGCCCUUCAGUGCUGCAGCUAACGCAUUAAGCAUUCCGCCUGGGGAGUACGGCCGCAAGGCUGAAACUCAAAGGAAUUGACGGGGGCCCGCACAAGCGGUGGAGCAUGUGGUUUAAUUCGAAGCUACGCGAAGAACCUUACCAGGUCUUGACAUACUAUGCAAAUCUAAGAGAUUAGACGUUCCCUUCGGGGACAUGGAUACAGGUGGUGCAUGGUUGUCGUCAGCUCGUGUCGUGAGAUGUUGGGUUAAGUCCCGCAACGAGCGCAACCCUUAUUAUCAGUUGCCAGCAUUAAGUUGGGCACUCUGGUGAGACUGCCGGUGACAAACCGGAGGAAGGUGGGGAUGACGUCAAAUCAUCAUGCCCCUUAUGACCUGGGCUACACACGUGCUACAAUGGAUGGUACAACGAGUUGCGAACUCGCGAGAGUAAGCUAAUCUCUUAAAGCCAUUCUCAGUUCGGAUUGUAGGCUGCAACUCGCCUACAUGAAGUCGGAAUCGCUAGUAAUCGCGGAUCAGCAUGCCGCGGUGAAUACGUUCCCGGGCCUUGUACACACCGCCCGUCACACCAUGAGAGUUUGUAACACCCAAAGUCGGUGGGGUAACCUUUUAGGAACCAGCCGCCUAAGGUGGGACAGAUGAUUAGGGUGAAGUCGUAACAAGGUAGCCGUAGGAGAACCUGCGGUUGGAUCAC
rnacentral:rRNA from 4 species